AGCUUUGCGCAUUGGCAGUAUCAUAGCCCAUGAGGUUUGUCCGAGGCGUGAUUAUUGCUAGUUGAAAACUUUAACCAAUACCCCAGAGUCACAGAGUCUGCUAUCAUGUAGUUGAAAGAACAGAACAAAUGUU